CUCUGCCACCGGUCCAUGACGAC
rnacentral:miRNA from 1 species